AUGACCAAACACAAGUCAACCUUGUUCCAGCUGCCAUUCUCCUCACUUGAAACAACUUGGAGCCAGUCAUGGUGGACACAGGGUGGUAAGACUUUUUCCAUGCUGGCCCCAAGAGAAAGUAUUCCAGAGAACAGGUCCUGUGCAAGUUCCACGUGGCCAUUCAGUGUGUGGUAUCCUUCUCUGGACUGUGAGUGUAGGUGACCAAUAAACUGCUAUUGAUCUCAUCUGUCCAAGGUUGGGUGUCAUGGGUCCAGCCAUGCCCAUAACCCUAGGUCAUCAGUGGGGUGAAGAGGAUGGAAUCUGAAUAAGGUGGCAGCCUGACAACUAUGCUCAGAGCACCCCACGUGGCCUUUUUUUUUCUUUCGUUCACAUGGGACUAGUGAAAUCAGUUUAUCUGAGGUCUGAAGACCCACACUGGAGGCACCUAAAAGCACAGGACACGAAGUCGGAAGAGUCACAG
rnacentral:lncRNA from 1 species